UUGAAAGUUGGGGAGAAUAAUUUCUGCACUAGUAAAUCCAGAGAAUUAAUAUUAUAUCAGAAGCAGGAGUGCAAACUCCCUUAGACUAACCCAUCCAUGUGUCUCAGUCCUGACCUGAAGGGGAAUACCUCCAGAGAUGGAAAAAUUCAGUCUCAUUAAGCAUGCAUGUCUCAGCCUUU
rnacentral:sRNA from 1 species